GCACGGUGGAUGCCUUGGCCUAGGACGGCUAAGAAGGACGCGACUAACCUGCGAAAAGCUUCGGGGAGGCGUGUUGAACUGUAAUCCGCGGGGUAACGCCCGUGUGAAGCGAACCCGGGGAAGUGAAACAUCUCAGUACCCGGAGGAAAAGAGAACAAGAGGAGUUGCGUUCCGCUGGCGCGUAUGUUCGUGCCAGAGGAACGCAACUCUCGUGAUACCCCAAGUAGCGGCGAGCGAAAAGGGAAAAGCCCAAACCACGUGGGAUAACAGUGUUCGAAUCAGUACCGACUCGAAUGGCAAAAAAGCUUUUGGAGUUCGUGCGAGAUUUUGACAGUGUUAUCCCACGUGGGGUUGUAAGAUGUGAGCAUCGUACUUGUACGAGAAGAGUUAUCAAUCGUCUGUGUAGCGGAAACUGCUGGGAAGCAGUGCCACAGAGGGUAAUGGCCCCGUACGCGAAAUGCAUGACGACUCUUGCUCAUAUUCUUGAGUAACUCGAGACAUGAAUAGCUCGAGUGAAUCUGCCGGAACUAACCGGUAAGGCUAAAUACGUCCUAUGACCGAUAGUGAACUAGUACCGUGAGGGAAAGGUGAAAAGAACCCCGAGAGGGG
rnacentral:rRNA from 1 species